rnacentral:rRNA from 1 species
GGAAUAUUGGACAAUGGGGGAAACCCUGAUCCAGCGACGCCGCGUGGGUGAAGAAGGCCUGCGGGUUGUAAAGCCCUUUCGGUGGGGAAGAAAAGCCUCGACCUAAUACGUCGGGGUCUUGACGUAAACCACCAACGAAGCACCGGCUGACUCUGUGCCCACAGCCGCGGUAAUACCGAGGGUGCGAGCGUUAAUCGGAAUUACUGGGCGUAAAGCGCAAGUAGGCGGCUUUGCAAGUCGGGUGUGAAAUCCCCGGGCUCAACCUGGGAACUGCAUUCGAUACUGCAUUGCUGGAGUAUGGGAGAGGGAAGUGGAAUUUCCGGUGUAGCGGUGAAAUGCGUAGAUAUCGGAAGGAACACCAGUGGCGAAAGCGACUUCCUGGACCAAUACUGACGCUCAGGUGCGAAAGCGUGGGGAGCAAAC